UGCCAUUUAAUAUGUUUUAUAAUUUUUUUCUGAUAGCUGGAAAUGAUACACUUUCUAAAAGGAGCUACUUUAAAUAAGUCUUUGGUAAUGUAGUAAGGUGUGGGGUGAGGGAAAGCAUCCUAUAGUCCUAUGAGUAUGUCUGCCUUUUAGUGGACUUAUACCUCUGGGUUGUAAACCUCACACUGGUUUCUUAUUUUCCAACCCCCUGCCCCUAAAUGGGAUAGGAUGAUUAAAGGCAGCUGAAGUUGCGUAUGUCUCCUCCCCCAGGUCUGAUAACACCCCAGCAGAUUAGGCUGCAGUUAAAUAGUUUUUCCUGUGGGCAGGUACCCUGUUAAGAAGAGUGCUCUGGCAUAUUUCAAUGUGGCUCAUUUUCCUGUCCCUCAGCCAGAGACAGAAGGCAACUUUUCCUCUAAUAUUCACUCUGUGUCUAUGCUGAGCUUCCAGCAGUUCAUCAGUUACACUUCAGAUCUCCCUGGUUCCUGCAGAGAUGUGUGCUCCUGGGUCUUUGCUCUGGCUUCCUGGAAUGCAAAUACAAAGACUGACGCUCCAGCAGCUUUCUUGGGUUAUGAGCUCAACCACAGUCAGUGCAGUGUUGGUCAGCAUCCUGUCAAGAUAGAUGGAGUUUAUGAAGGAUUGCCAGCCUUACUCUCAAAAACAGCUGGAGGAGUGAUUUUGAACUCACCAAAGUGAUUGAACUCACCAAGGAUCCAUACGCAUUUCCUACAGGAACUUCAAACUAGCUGAUGAGUACAUUUAUUUUGGCACUUAUUUAUUUAAUAUAAAUCAUACUGAUCAACUUCAAAUGAAGCCUUGCUGUUUUGUGGAACUUCUCUAAUCAGCAGAAUUCUGCUGUUGGAAGGAGACUUAGAAGUGUCUGAGCUCAAUAAGUGGAUUUUACAUUAGAGGAAAAUAAGCUUCAGAGAGCAGACACGACUAAUCAAGAGCCAUCUAGCUAAGCUCAGGUUAGAAGACAGAGCUCCUGACUCUCAAUCCAUGUGUUUUUUCUAAACUAAGCUUCCCCAAAGGCCACUGCAUUCUCCUUGCCUCUCCUUGAACUUUCAUCUUAGCUCAAUAGUACAUACUCACUCAGCAAUUAGCUGACAUCUUUUAAGCUGAGUCUGAGUUUUGUGUCUCUUUUUUGUGUCUUAUCUCAAUUACCUCUCCAGCAUUAAAAAAAAAAAAAGUGUCCCCUCUUGAUGUUUUUUCCUGAAUUCCUGAAGCAAAUAGUCUCUUUAAUCAUUUGGGCAUCUAUACUCUCUCCCAGCCAAUUACCUGCCUCUUCUUAUAAAUAUGCCUAGUUCUUUCCUAUCUUUACAUAAUCUACAGCUUGUAAUGUUUUAAACAGAAUUUAUUGGAUCAUCUGAGCUUUCUAAUUUAUUUUCUAGGCAGUUUAGUUCAGAGAUUUUAUUCAAGAUCUUCUAUCACUUCAUUAGUUUACCUUUUCUUUUCUAUUGUUCGUUAUUCUCUGUCUCUCCCUUUUCCUCCUUACCACAUUUCCUGUUGUUAAUAUAAAAUAUAUUUGAAUACCCAUAGCUGGCAUAGUGCCUGGCAUAUGUGCAAUAUUCUGUAAAUGUUUUGAAUAAAUAAAUACUAAAUGGUUUUAAAGAUCACUAUAACCACUAGGAAAUCUUACUGUUCAUUAAAUAUCCUUCAGGUGGAACCAUGGCUAUCUAUACAAACAUGUAUGUGAAUAUAUAUACAAAAGUGGAGCUCAGUAGCUUAUAUUAUGUGUUGACUGUGUACCUGUCUCUGUUUUAAGAACUGUAGAUGGUAUUGCCUCACUUAAUAAUUAAUAAUAAUAAUAACAAUAACAAUAAUAGCAAAUACAGAGAGUGUUCAGGAUGUGGCAGGUACCAUUCAGAUCACUUUAAUAUGUAUUCAUUUAUUUAUCCUCACAAGAACUCUAUGAGGUAGGUACUUUAUUACCCUAACAGAGGCAUAAAGAGAAAUAGCUUCUGCCUUCACACAACAAGUGAGUAGCAAGCAGAGUAAGAACUUGAACUUAGAUGUUCUGACUCCAGAAUCUAUAAUCUUAGGGCCUCACACUAUAAUGCUUAUUACUGAAGAUCUUACAAGUCGAGUUGAUACCUCACAAAAAAAUAUACUCUACCAUCUAUCCAAGGCACCAUUCCCAAAACACCUCCCUUGCCAGCUUGCAUAAGUGACUGAAAUGCUUAUUAUUUAGUCAUAAUCUUUACAGAAGGUACUUGAAGAACUAAAAAACAAAAAACACAAAUGCGUCAUAUGGGUAAGUGACAUAAAGCUCUAACCAACCAUUAAUAUUUUAGCAUGAUAUAGUUUAUCAGAUAAAUCUAACUGAUCCUUGACACUCUUUUUUUAUGUUUUUAAUUUAAUGUUUUUAAUAUAAUUGUCAAAUUGGCUGACAUACACUGUGUACAGCAUGCUCUUGGUUUUGAGAGUAGAUUCCCAUGAUUCAUUGCUUACAGGCAACACCCAGUGCUCAUCCCAACAAGUGCCCUCCUCAAUGCCCAUAACCCACUGACAGACUCCUGAGAAAAUAGAAUAAGAUAGCACAUUGAAUUUUGAGAUGUUGGGGAAGAUAAAAUCAUGAAAUGUUGAAAGAGUAGGAAAGAAAGACCAAGUAGGAUGGUUACACUACAGGAUAUUUAAAGAAAAGGGAGAAAAGACAGAUCAGAAAUUUGGACAAAAUAAAAAGGAUUUAAAUGUGCUACCACCAAAGUAUUCUGUGCUGCUUUGCCAAUCCUAUCUCACCUGAAAGUGCCUGAUUUUGAAUAUAUGUAUUUUAUCUUAGAUUCCGUAUCUCACAUGGAAUCAUAUCUUUGGGAUCAGCAAUUUCUUUUAGGUCUGGCUGGAUAUUUUAAAACGUAUUAUUAAUAGGUAUAAUUUAGACAGAUUUUUGUUACCUGGAAGAAUAAGCUCCAAUUUUAUAGUAUGGGAAAGCUGAAUCUAGUAUAUAGGACUUAGCUUCAGUAAUUUUUGUUAACAUCAAAGUUUGUCCAUAUACUGAGGUGCUCCUGUGAGAAUCAAAAUUUUGCUUCAAGAUAUAUAGCCUUUGAACUAGGUAUUCCUGGGUAAUAGACAACCUCUAGUCUUAUUUUAUACCUGCCAUCUCUGUGCCUUUUAACCAUUUAAUAAAGAAUAAUUGGUUUAAGCAAAUGUUUAAGUAAUCCCUUGUGUAUGAAACUUCGUAUUACAUAUGUAGAAAAGAUAUAUAGCAUUAUUUGUUAUUAAUUUUGAUCUUAGCCUUUCAAUCAGAAAAUCCCUUUUGACAGAUGAACAUAAGGGAAGGGAAACAAAAAUAAUAUAAAAACAGGGAGGGGGACAAAACAUAGAAGACUCUGAAAUACAGAGAACAAACAGAGGGAUGCUGAAGGAGUUGUGAGAUGGGGAAUGGGCUAAACUGGUACAGGGCAUUAAGGAAUCUACUCCUGAAAUCAGUGUUGCACCAUAUGCUAACUAACUUGAAUGUAAAUUAAACAAUAAAUAAAUUUCAAAAAGAAAGAAAAAAAAUCCCUUUUGUUUUCUCAAUCUGAUGAGAUUCUACAUGUGCAUGAGACAUGAAUUAUUCAUUUUUGCGAGCAGUUCACUGGUUCAAUAAAUCAUUAAUCUGAAUAAAGAACUGAAAAUUUAAACCUCCUGAAUCUGUAUGACAUUUAUACCGAAAAAGAAAAGUUCUUAAGUGAAUAGUAGCAAAUUCCAUGUAUUUGGAAGAGUGAUUGUAUCAAAUAUUUCUCUAAUCCGUUAGAUUUUAAUUUUUUUUAAGGUUUAUUCAUUUUUCAGAGACAGAACGUGAAGGGGGAGGGGCAG